UACGUAGGGUGCAAGCGUUGUCCGGAAUUAUUGGGCGUAAAGAGCUCGUAGGCGGUUCGUCGCGUCGGCUGUGAAAUCCCGGAGCUCAACUCCGGGUCUGCAGUCGAUACGGGCGGACUCGAGUUCGGCAGGGGAGACUGGAAUUCCUGGUGUAGCGGUGAAAUGCGCAGAUAUCAGGAGGAACACCGGUGGCGAAGGCGGGUCUCUGGGCCGAUACUGACGCUGAGACGCGAAAGCGUGGGGAGCAAACAGG
rnacentral:rRNA from 1 species